CAGCAGCCACGGUAAUACGGAGGGGGCUAGCGUUGUUCGGAAUUACUGGGCGUAAAGCGCACGUAGGCGGCUUUGUAAGUUAGAGGUGAAAGCCCGGAGCUCAACUCCGGAAUUGCCUUUAAGACUGCAGAGCUAGCAGGUGAGAGAGGUGAGUGGAAUUCCGAGUGUAGAGGUGAAAUUCGUAGAUAUUCGGAAGAACACCAGUGGCGAAGGCGGCUCACUGGCUCAUACUGGACGCUGAGGUGCGAAAGCGUGGGGAGCAAACAGGAUUAGAUACCCCCGUAGUCCCUGUCUCUUAUAC
rnacentral:rRNA from 1 species